UGGGGAAUCUUCCGCAAUGGACGAAAGUCUGACGGAGCAACGCCGCGUGAGUGAUGACGGUCUUCGGAUUGUAAAGCUCUGUUAAUCGGGACGAAUGGUUUGUGUGCAAAUAGUGCAUAGACAUGACGGUACCGGAAUAGAAAGCCACGGCUAACUACGUGCCAGCAGCCGCGGUAAUACGUAGGUGGCAAGCGUUGUCCGGAAUUAUUGGGCGUAAAGCGCGCGCAGGCGGACUAGCCAGUCAGUCUUAAAAGUUCGGGGCUUAACCCCGUGAUGGGAUUUAAACUACUAGUCUAGAGUAUCGGAGAGGAAAGUGGAAUUCCUAGUGUAGCGGUGAAAUGCGUAGAUAUUAGGAAGAACACCAGUGGCGAUGGCGACUUUCUGGGCGAACACUGACGCUGAGGCGCGAAAGCCAGGGGAGCGAACGGG
rnacentral:rRNA from 1 species